rnacentral:rRNA from 1 species
GCAACUCGCCUGCAUGAAGUUGGAAUUGCUAGUAAUCGCGAAUCAGAAUGUCGCGGUGAAUACGUUCCCGGGCCGUUGUACACGCCGCCCGUCACACCAUGAGAGUCGAUAACACCCGAAGCCUGUGAGCUAACCUUUUAGGAGGCAGCAGUCGAAGGUGGGGUUGAUGAUUGGGGUGAAGUCGUAACAAGGUACC